GUGAUCAUAGUGUAGCGGCUCUGCACGUCGAACUGUGAAUUCGAAAGUUCGGGUUCAACCCCCGAUGAUCACCCCA
rnacentral:tRNA from 1 species